ACAAGGGAAAAAAAAGGAAUAUAAGAAAGCAACUGUGAAUCUGAGGCUUCAUUUUGAGUUUUCCCCCAAAACAAAAAGGGGAAAACUAAAAGCCUGAUAGGUUACCUUUUUCUAACAAGGAACAACUGUCUCUACUUCGGGUUGCAUGCUUUCUCAAGUUUGAGUUUAGACAGACCACUCUUUUGUGAAUCUUUGCAUAAAGGGUCAUUGAAUAAUGGUCAGAGGCAUUGUCUUUGAAUGUUUUACAGAUAUGCUGAGGUUUGUACUUAGAACUUCUCAUUUUACAUUCAGCCUUUCAGUGAAAGGCGAACGUGAAGCUGACAUUUUAUAAUGGCAAAACUUAGGGGGCCAGAGCUAUAAGACAUGUUCAGAAGACAGGGAUAUGUGUCUUUUUUUCUCUUGUAUUGCUCAUGGUACCUAGCACAAAGUUGGAGAUGUGAUAGACUCUUUAAUACAGGUAUUCUUAUAUGGUUUACCAUGGCAAAAUCAACUUUCAAUUUUGUUUGGUUUUCAGAGUACUUUUCAUGAUAAAAAGGUUCAUUUGUUUUACUCUCAGAGCAUGCUCUGAGCUGAGAAUUAUAAACUAAAGGAGAAAAUAAUGAUGAGCAAAUAAUUGCCCAGGCUCCUAUGGAGAGUUCUCAGUAGAGCUGGAUUUGGUAACUUGAUGAGUUGUCACUGGCAAAUUUAGCAUUCACAUGUCAGACCUAGAAUAAUGCUAGAUGCUUAUCCCUCUCGUAUGGGAGCAGCCAGGAAGUCAGAAGAGGACCACAGACAGAGCGUUUGUUGGUGACAAGGGCUUUCAUAUCUUCAGAACUUGGCAAUAAGUAUUUUUAAAUAAUGGGAAGAAUGAAUUAUUUGAUUUCUGUGAAUUUAAAUUGCAAAAAUGAAAUAUGUGGGAGAAAACAGGUGCCUCCAUCUUUAACUGGAAUUGACAAAGCAGCAUUCACAAAGUGGCAACAAUUUCCUUUGACAUUUAUGAUUGCCCUAAUGCUGUUAAUCAGUGUGAGAUUAUUAUUUUUCCUUUCACAAAUGGAGAAACUGAGGUUCUGAGGGGUGAAGUGAGCUUACCCCAUUCCACAAAACUUGUAACUGCUGAUUCCCAGUUCUUUGUUCAUUUUAUUAGGCCAUGGAUGUUUCCUUAAAUAUAUUUCUCUGGGAAUAAAAUUCUCUUACAGAUCUUCUAGAAAUGGGGAUCUUGGCUUUCUGAAAUGAAAUUAUGUAUGGGCCAGAAGCCAGGAGAUGGAACGUGUGCUUUCUUACGUGUUUUCCUUCCAGCUUCCUUAGUCACGAUUCUUCAUUAUAACUUUGGUAUCUCUGAUAUUGAGUUAACUUUGACGAUGGUAUGGAUGAUGGUGGAUGGGUGGUACAUACAACUUUGAAGCACAUGAUGACUCUCUGGCCACCUACUUUAUUCUCGUAUUUCCCAAGAGGAGGUAAAUACUUCAUUUUAGAGAAACUGGACUCUAACCUAAAGUGGCCGAGAAGUCUAACCUGCAUUGUAAUCUUCAUCAAAUGAAAACACUUUGUUCUUAAAAGUACACUUGUUCCUUCUUCUUGCCCUUGACAAUUUUCUGUUUGAAGCAGCAAGGAACAGAGGAAAGAUAACAUAGUUUAUUCUAUGGAUUUCUACCAGUUCAAUUUUUAAAGUGUUAGCCUCUUAAAAUAAAUGUUUUCAUAAAAGAUCAUGAAGAAACUCGGAUUUUUGUCACUCCAUCAAUAUGUAGGAGGAGGGUAUGUCUGGGUAAGAGCCAAACAAUUAAGGUGUUACUGACCAGAAGUCUCUUGGUUUGCUGUCAUAAAAUGUCACAACUAUCAGCAACCACAAAAUCUUCAAUAAAUGGCACUGCAGACAGAAAUUUUUCUUAACAGUCUGGGUUUGUGAAUUCUCUUUUUUCCUUUCUGGUUUCCCUCUGUAGAUGUCUCUUUCUUCCUUUGUGCUUGGUCUCUCUGUUUCUCUUACUAACAACACACAUAUUUCUCCAUCUCUGUAUCAUCAUCUUCUAUUAGUUUUUCACAAGUGUAUUUCUGUGACUAAAAGGAUCAACAGAUGCUGACUUCAAUAUUGUGAAGCAUCCAGAAAAAGAACAAUUAAUUUAUAACAAACCUGCUUUGCUCUAACACUGACAGCUUUUGAAAAUGUAUACUGUAUGUGAGAUCCACAUCUCAUUUUGUUUUCAUUUAGAUGGUCAACAGCAUUUAACUCGAAGUUAGGUUUAAAUUCCCCCCAUGAGACUUGUCAGUUUUUGUCAGAAAUAAAACCAAUGAAUAUUUCCAUUUUAAAUAUUUAAAAGACCUUUUAAAUAAUGUGUUGAUAUUUUUGCUUGCAUUUUUGUUAUUAUCUUAACACUCUCUAUUGCUAUCUGCUUCAAUAUAGGAAAAAUGCAGUUACAAAUGUUUCCUGGUUAUAGUUAUUAAGAAUUAUCCCUAAUCUUAGGCUAGAUAUAUACAGAAGAUAAUCGUGUUCUAGAGUGUUCCUGCUGAAUAAAGUUGCCACUUAAUAAGAAACAGAUAUCAUGACUAGGUUGCCCUUGGAACUAACUGUCCAAGCGUGAACAAAUAUAUAUACUACAUCACACAUACACUCACAGUGCACAACACACUUAUACACUUCUCACAUACUCGCCUUUCUUUUACAACUUUCUGGCUCAGCAUGCCCAUGUCAUGAGCUAAUUCUGACCUAACAGAGAGGCUGUGCAGUCUUUCAGCUAGUGGAGGCUGAGAAAAUUGUGCAGCAAUAGGUCCAGUCCCUGGAAGAUGAAGUUAGUUAGCAUUUGGUGCCCAGCCAGCAGCAAUGUGACUUAGGCUUUUCGUCCUAGUAGGUAUGGAGUUCUGCUCUGAGCAACAAUUCAUUUAUUUUGUGCCAAUAUUCUGACUAGCUCAUUCUAGAAUCUUCUAUUUUGGUCAGAAUCUGUCCUAUAUUCUUGGCUGUGGUUCAAUUCUUUCAAUCAAAGAUCUGCCUAAUCCUGUUUUCCCAUAGCUAAUGUUGACAGGGUUCACCACGCCAUCUUCAUCUCCGCCCCCACUUCUCAUCUUCAGCCCAAACCAAUCUUCAUCUCUAUCUUCAUCUUUACUUCCAUCCACACAGCAAUCUUCAACUCCAUCUACCAAUACCAGUCUUAAGCUCCUGUGCCCCACCAUCCUCAGUCAUAGCAGUGCUCGAUGUGAUAACCUAAUCAAAAAUUUCAAACCAAACUGCCCAGCAUUCAUGGUUGUAAAGGACAUGUAGAAUCAGUCAACUGAUAGAUACAAAGUAACACUGAAACUGAUUGAGCAAUAAUCAGAAAGUUGGCGCUGCAAUAGCUUCCUCAGUUGUACCUCUCUGUCCACCGCCCAGCUCUUUCCUGUUGCUUCCAGUUCCUCUCACUUGUACUUCUUUAUUAACUAUUUGUUAACAUAACUUUCUAUGGUUUUCUUUCACCUAAGACCCAAACCUCUUCUCCUGGCUUGCAUUUCCACGACUCCCUGCCCAAGCCUGAGGUUGCACAAGAAACAUAUCUCUAAUUAAUGUCCCCUGUUCCAGGAAUUUGACUCAUUGGGCCUGCAAAAGAUUUUCGUGACAAAUGAAAUAUUUUUCUAAACCAAGGACUUGGGGAUAACUUCAGGGUCAAAGACAUCUUAUCAUAUUUAAGAACAGCCACAGGAUGUCUAGGAGCCAGCAGAGGGGCCAGAUAUGCUGCAGUUUAUGCUGUAAAAGGAAGCCUGCCGCCGUGAGUGGUCCAGUGGGAGCUCUUGCUUUGUGUCCUCAGCCUUUCACCUUUCCAUCUGAUGACUUGCUCUGAAUCUUCACUUCCUGGGCAGAUGAGGAAACAUGAUGUUCAGAAAGGUAUAUGACUUGAUCAAGAACCCACAACCAGGCAAUGAGAGGAAUAUGAGGCAAAAUCCAAUCUACUUGAUUCCACAGAGCUCUGAGUAUAGAUGAGGCAAACUUCACAUGGAAAAGAAGCCAUAUUUUGAAAAAACUACACGGAAUCAAAGAGAACUAACUCAAAGAAGCAAAAUUUUGGAGAUAAAACAAGGUAUCUGAUAGCAGUAGUGAUCUCAGGGUGGAUGACCCCCUACUGUUGCUCCUUCUUUUAAAUAAAACUCUUACUUGCAGGAGACAUACUGAAUGUAUUUGACCUUGGUGGCAGCUGGAAUUCAAAAAUCCUGGGUUGUGUUAGUUGACUAAGACAACAUUGUAGUACUGGUAGAGAAUUCUAAAAUCAGAAGAGCUUCAAUCUCUUCUAAUCUAAUUGACUAUGGAGAUUCAGGCAAGUUAUUCUGCCUCUGAGCCAGAUUUAAUUUCCUUAUCUAUAAUGUAAGGAGAAAAUCAAUAACUUUAAUAUUCUCUGAUUCAAAAUGUAAGCAAACAGAGGAAGGUGAUUGGCAACUUAGUUAAUUGGCAGGGUUAUUGGUAAAGAGUGAACACUGGGCAUUAUCCUUAAAGGUUAUGACAUUUGGAUAACCAUCUUGCAUCUUGGUCCAGUAGGCCAGCUACAGUAAUUGCUGUGGGUUAUGCUGAGUCUAGGACUGGAUUCCAAUUAAGCUGUGAUUUUUCACCAGUGCUAACUGUGGAAGGGCAGAUCCAUACAGAGCAUUCCUCAGCUAGGUAGUUUGAAUUAUUCCUAGACAGAUGCCUCCCAUUGAAGAGCACCUGGCAUUUUUACUAAGAGGAGAUCUAGCCAUUCUAGCAACUCUGAUUCACUCUCCUUUUGUUCAUCAUCUAUAUUUCUCCAUGGCUAUCCUUCCAAAGAGAAGCUAUUGCUAUAGUACACCUAACCAGAACAACUUUACCUCAAGGACACAGCUUUAUUAUCUGCUGAGGACCCUGAUCUAAUACUGUCAGGGUAGAGCCUGGUGUUCUGGGGAAAAUUUCAGGUUAUUAAAGCCAGUCCUAAUGGUUGGCUUAGAUAUGGCCUCUGUCUUGAUUUCCCUGCAUAGAACUUCUAUCUUUUAUUAAUUUGGUGCCAGUUGUAUAUUUUAAAGGGAGAGCUGUGGGUCUUGAUUUAAACCUGUAUAUACAUACAAGUACCUUGUUUUGUUAAACUACAUUGUCUUGCUCUUGUCAGUUUUAUCCUUAGAGGUCUGGACGUGCCCCAUCUCUGUACUUGAUUCUGCUGAGAAUACAGAGGUUGACAGUACCAUCAUGGCACACUACUCUGUGUGCACUGACCUAGGGCCUGGCACGCCUCAUAUAGAUACCUCCUAUCCCCUUUGUGCCUGCAUUUGUCUCAACCACAGGCCACAGUAGCUAACAUUCUCAGCUUUUGACCCACUAAUUUUUGGCUUUUGCCCAUCCCCAUUGACUCCCAUGUAGACCCUAUGUUCACCAGAAGGAUCCUCAUGUCUGCAGACUACAUUAAGAGGGAGGAUAUGCCUCUGUGAAUCCAACUGAUAGGUAUCUCCUGUGUGCCAGGGAAUGGCAGGGCCAUGGCUCUCUCAAAGCCAUGCUCAUAAAAAGCCUCCUCUGCAUCGACUUCCAGUCCCAUUUGAUUCUCAAGCAAGGAGUUCCAUCCGAGAAGGAAGCUGUCACCUGUCACUCUUUUAUGAAUUCUUAAGGACAGUGGAAGAGUUGAAAGGUUGGCAAUCACAAUGACAAUAGGCUAUUACAAGCAGGUGAAGAGCCUUCUUCUUUUGCUCCUUACCCCCAACUGCUGUUCAAAUAAUCAAAAAAGGGUCCUCAUUGAAACUGAUUUAAUUCUCAAGAGGAAUGAAAGACAUUUAAAGGGCAAGCCAACUUCAUAAAUGACAUUAAAAGGUUUUAAAAUAGUGUUUUGCUUCUAAAGGGUGUUUGUAAAUGUCAGAGGUAACAUAUUGAUUACAGUCCUGGCAGUUCUUGCUCAGGGCUUCUUAGCUGUCUUUGGCUUAACUCAUGCUGUUGACUUAUGCUCAUGGUAUGAAAUAUCUCAGCCAUCUUACUUUGUUUGCUUAAACUUUUCCAACCUACCAGACUUUAUCCACAUGUGAAUAAAAGGUACCAUCAAAUUAGUGGUGUUUAUAAUUUUUGUGCUUUUUAAUGUCUCGUGAAUUAUAUAAAGUUACGAAAAUGGCUAUAGGAAUUGGCCUACAAACUCUUGAGAUGUCCUAUAAGUUCCUACAAGAUAUUGAAAGUUGGUUGCUUUGAGGAUAUAAUUCUGAAUGUUGAAGCAAAUUAAAAAGCCAACUUGGAAGGGGAUACAUAAUCCUCUUUAAGUCAAGAUGAGGGGUAUAACCUCCCCCAUAUAUUCUGGGCCCAGUCGUCUGUGUUGAAAAGAACUCUGAUAGUUUAUUUGCUGAUACUAUUAAUGGGAGCCAAAAACAUUGUGGAGAAAGGUGAUAUUGUCAUCGUGAAUCUCUCUGAACUCCUGUUCCCAAUUUGUAGCCAGUAAGAGAGCAUGAUUGCUCUGACUACAGGAUUAUACUAAGUCUCUAAGGAAAUGAGAAUAGUGCACAUGUGUACUCUGAUUUAUAGUUUGCAAAGGCCAUUCAAUAAUUGGUAAAGCCGAAACCAAUGAAUUUCCUUCUGAUUUUCAGCACCAUUCAGAAUCUGGACAUAUAAUAUGUUUAUGGCAUUUAACCUAGUCAGACAGUAGAUAUUGCUCUAAGUCAUGGCCUACACCUGUGAGCCUACUUAUAUCAGCAUUUGCCAAAUGUACUUGUAGCUGUGGUACUGACCUCAGAGAACUUAGCCAAAGAGCAAAGACUGCCUAAUUCAAGAAGUACUGGCUGUACAGGAAGCAUAAUGCCAGCAUCUGUUUCUGGUGAGGCCUCAGGAAGCUUUUACUUAUGGUGGAAGGUGAAGGAGGAACAGGUGUCUCACAGGGCAAGAGGAGCAAGAGGGAGCAGGUGGGGAUUGGUGCCACACACUUGUAAACAUCCACAUUUUGUGAGAACUCACUAUCUCAAAAACAGCACCAAGCCAUGAGGAAUCCCUUCCUAUGACCCAAACACCUCCC
rnacentral:lncRNA from 1 species